AAUAAGAUCAUUUUUUAGUUUUUUGAUACAAUAUUUUGACUCUUCGUCUUAUUAAAUUUCUUUUACAAUUAAUAUUUUUAUUCUUACUAGAUGAUAAAACAUGAAUAGUACUUUAUACGUGACUAAUUUUUUUAAGUUUUUAUACAAAUUUUUUAAAUAAGACGAAUUGUCAAACGUUGGAUACGGAAAAAC
rnacentral:pre_miRNA from 1 species